GAUGAAGAACGCAGCGAAAUGCGAUAAGUAAUGUGAAUUGCAGAAUUCAGUGAAUCAUCGAAUCUUUGAACGCACCUUGCGCCCUUUGGCUAUUCCGAAGGGCAUGCCUGUUUGAGUAUCGUGAACACCUCAACUCUCAUGGUCUGCCAUGAUGAGCUUGGACUUUGGGGGUCUUGCCGGCCUAGCGUCGGCUCCUCUCAAAUGGAUCAGCUUGCCAGUGUGUGGUGGCAUCACAGGUGUGAUAACUAUCUACGCUUGUGGUUUUCUACCAUGUAACCUUCAGCGAUGGAGGUUCGCUGGGGCUCACAGACGUCUCUCCUUGGAGGACAGCUUUUUGAACGUUUGAUCUCAAAUCAGGUAGGACUACCCGCUGAACUUAAGCAUAUCAAUAAGCGGAGGA
rnacentral:misc_RNA from 1 species